rnacentral:rRNA from 1 species
UGAAUUUAAUUCAUGCAUUUUGUUUAAAGUUUAUUGUUGGUUUAUUGCUUUUUAUUUGAUGUUAAGAUUGAGGGGGAUUAGCUCCUUAUUUUAUUAUUAUAACUUUGUGUUCUGUUAUUUAGUUUUGUGGAUUUUAUGGUGAUUUUCAAUUUGAUUAUGUUAAAAUUUUAUUUCUUCUUUUUUUUAUUUAUUUGUGGUUUAGUCUAUUUAUUGGAAUGUUUUCUUUAUUUUGUUUUGGUUGGUAAUUAUUAUGGAAUUAGUAAAUUUUAUUUUUAUGGUGUUUUUUGGUGUUAAUUUCUUUUAAGGAAUUAGGCAAAUUUUUUAUGUCCGCCUGUUUAACAAAAACAUCUUUUCUUGUUAGUUUCUGAAGUAUGGCCUGCCCGCUGACGUAUUUUGAGUUGAAGGGCCGCGGUAUUUUGACCGUGCAAAGGUAGCAUAGUCAUUAGUUCUUUAAUUGUGAUCUGGUAUGAAUGGCUUGACGAGACAUGGGCUGUCUUAGGUAUGAAUUUUUUGUUGAAUUUUGAGUUUAAGUUAAAAUUCUUAGAUGUUUUUAUGGGACGAGAAGACCCUAUAGAGUUUAACAUUUGAUUGCGUAUUUCUUGUUGUUUGUUUAUAAUUUUUACGUGUCUCUUGUUUUGUUGGGGUGAUGGGAGGAAUUUAUUUAACUCCUCUUUUUGUGUAGUAUAUUGAUGUAUAUGUGUUUUGAUCCAUUUAUU